AAAUUGAAGAGUUUGAUCAUGGCUCAGAUUGAACGCUGGCGGCAGGCCUAACACAUGCAAGUCGAACGGUAACAGGAAGCAGCUUGCUGCUUCGCUGACGAGUGGCGGACGGGUGAGUAAUGUCUGGGAAACUGCCUGAUGGAGGGGGAUAACUACUGGAAACGGUGGCUAAUACCGCAUAACGUCGCAAGACCAAAGAGGGGGACCUUCGGGCCUCUUGCCAUCAGAUGUGCCCAGAUGGGAUUAGCUAGUUGGUGAGGUAACGGCUCACCAAGGCGACGAUCCCUAGCUGGUCUGAGAGGAUGACCAGCCACACUGGAACUGAGACACGGUCCAGACUCCUACGGGAGGCAGCAGUGGGGAAUAUUGCACAAUGGGCGCAAGCCUGAUGCAGCCAUGCCGCGUGUAUGAAGAAGGCCUUCGGGUUGUAAAGUACUUUCAGCGGGGAGGAAGGUGUUGUGGUUAAUAACCACAGCAAUUGACGUUACCCGCAGAAGAAGCACCGGCUAACUCCGUGCCAGCAGCCGCGGUAAUACGGAGGGUGCAAGCGUUAAUCGGAAUUACUGGGCGUAAAGCGCACGCAGGCGGUCUGUCAAGUCGGAUGUGAAAUCCCCGGGCUCAAC
rnacentral:rRNA from 2 species